rnacentral:rRNA from 1 species
GUUGUAUGGUUAAGUGACUAAGCGUACACGGUGGAUGCCUUGGCAGUCAGAGGCGAUGAAGGACGUAUUAACUUGCGAUAAGCCCAGAUUAGGUAGUAAAAACCUGUGAGUCUGGGAUUUCCGAAUGGGGAAACCCACUUACAUAAGUAAGUAUCACUGCGUGAAUACAUAGCGCAGUGAGGCGAACCGGGGGAACUGAAACAUCUAAGUACCCCGAGGAAAAGAAAUCAACCGAGAUUCCGAAAGUAGCGGCGAGCGAAAUUGGACUAGCCCUUAAGCUUUUAAUGAGACAGGUGAAGGCUCUGGAAAGUGCCGCGAUACAGGGUGAUAGCCCCGUAACCGACAUCUCAUCAUCAGUGAAAUCGAGUAGGGCGGGACACGUGUUAUCCUGUCUGAAUAUGGGGGGACCAUCCUCCAAGGCUAAAUACUACUGACUGACCGAUAGUGAACCAGUACCGUGAGGGAAAGGCGAAAAGAACCCCUGUGAGGGGAGUGAAAUAGAACCUGAAACCGUGUACGUACAAGCAGUAGGAGCACCUUCGUGGUGUGACUGCGUACCUUUUGUAUAAUGGGUCAGCGACUUAUAUUCAGUAGCAAGGUUAACCAUCUAGGGGAGCCGUAGAGAAAUCGAGUCUUAACUGGGCGUCGAGUUGCUGGAUAUAGACCCGAAACCAGGUGAUCUAGCCAUGGGCAGGUUGAAGGUUGAGUAACAUCAACUGGAGGACCGAACCGACUAAUGUUGAAAAAUUAGCGGAUGACUUGUGGCUAGGGGUGAAAGGCCAAUCAAACCUGGAGAUAGCUGGUUCUCCCCGAAAUCUAUUUAGGUAGAGCCUCGGACGAAUACUACUGGGGGUAGAGCACUGUUAAGGCUAGGGGGUCAUCCCGACUUACCAACCCUUUGCAAACUCCGAAUACCAGUAAGUACUAUCCGGGAGACACACGGCGGGUGCUAACGUCCGUCGUGGAGAGGGAAACAACCCAGACCGCCAGCUAAGGUCCCAAAUUAUAGCUAAGUGGGAAACGAUGUGGGAAGGCUUAGACAGCUAGGAUGUUGGCUUAGAAGCAGCCAUCAUUUAAAGAAAGCGUAAUAGCUCACUAGUCGAGUCGGCCUGCGCGGAAGAUGUAACGGGGCUAAGCUAUAAACCGAAGCUGCGGCAAUGACUUUAGUCAUUGGGUAGGGGAGCGUUCUGUAAGCCGUUGAAGGUGUGUUGUAAAGCAUGCUGGAGGUAUCAGAAGUGCGAAUGCUGACAUGAGUAACGAUAAAGGGGGUGAAAAACCUCCUCGCCGGAAGACCAAGGGUUCCUGUCCAACGUUAAUCGGGGCAGGGUAAGUCGACCCCUAAGGCGAGGCCGAAAGGCGUAGUCGAUGGGAAACGGGUUAAUAUUCCCGUACUUCUUACAAUUGCGAUGGGGGGACGGAGAAGGCUAGGUGGGCCUGGCGACGGUUGUCCAGGUUCAAGUGCGUAGGCUUGAGAGUUAGGUAAAUCCGGCUCUC